UACGUAGGGGGCAAGCGUUGUCCGGAUUUAUUGGGCGUAAAGAGCGUGUAGGCGGCCAAGCAGGUCUGCUGUGAAAACUCGAGGCUCAACCUCGAGACGUCGGUGGAAACCGUUUGGCUAGAGUCCGGAAGAGGAGAGUGGAAUUCCCGGUGUAGCGGUGAAAUGCGCAGAUAUCGGGAAGAACACCCGUGGCGAAGGCGGCACUCUGGGACGGUACUGACGCUGAGACGCGAAAGCGUGGGGAGCGAACAGG
rnacentral:rRNA from 1 species